UUAAAAUGUAUAUUUAUGGCUUGAGUAGUAUUAGUUAUGUUCUUGAAACUUAAAAAAUUUGGCGGUAUUUUAGUCUAAUCAGAGGAACCUGUUCCGUGAUCGAUAAUCCACGAUGGACCUUACUUAAAUUUGUUUAGUUUAUAUACCGUCGUUAUGAAAAACUUUUUUAGAAUAAUAGUUUUUAAUAUUUAUAAUUAUAAUUUAUAUCAGAUCAAGGUGUAGCUUAUGUUUAAGUGGUAAUGGGUUACAAUAAAUUUAUUUAUAUGGAUUUUUUAUUGAAAUUAAAAAUGAAGGUGGAUUUGAAAGUAAAAAUUUAUAGAUUAAAAUUUUGAAAUUAGCUCUAAAAUAUGUAC
rnacentral:rRNA from 1 species